AACGUAGGAGGCAAGCGUUAUCCGGAUUUACUGGGCGUAAAGGGCGUGCAGGUGGCUUGCUAAGUGGUGCGUGAAAGCGCUCGGCUCAACCGGGCGAGGCCGUGCCAAACUGGCAGACUAGAAACAGGCAGAGGAAAGUGGAAUUCGGGGUGUAGUGGUGAAAUGCGUAGAUAUCUGGAGGAACACCGGUGGCGAAGGCGACCCCCUGGUUGGAUACUGACGCUGAGACGCGAAAGCGUGGGGAGCAAACAGG
rnacentral:rRNA from 1 species